rnacentral:rRNA from 1 species
CAGCAGCCGCGGGAAUACGUAGGUGGCAAGCGUUGUCCGGAAUUAUUGGGCGUAAAGCGCGCGCAGGCGGAUAGGUCAGUCUGUCUUAAAAGUUCAGGGCUUAACCCCGUGAUGGGAUGGAAACUGCCAAUCUAGAGUAUCGGAGAGGAAAGUGGAAUUCCUAGUGUAGCGGUGAAAUGCGUAGAUAUUAGGAAGAACACCAGUGGCGAAGGCGACUUUCUGGACGAAAACUGACGCUGAGGCGCGAAAGCCAGGGGAGCAAAUGGGAUUAGAUACCCGCGUAGUCCCUGUCUCUUAUACA